rnacentral:lncRNA from 1 species
GCGUAGCGGUCUGGUUGGUGUGUAGCGGUUGACCAGUCUAGUAGUAGAUAGCUGGGAGCAGUUCUAUUGAUGCGUUUGUAGCCUAGGUUAUAACCAGGGACUGAACCAGGCUAUUAUUAAAAAUAUUGCAGUUGAAAUUACGUACAACGGUACUCGCACCAUUUUAUAUUUCAAGAGGUAUUAUGCUGAUCAAACCGACAUACUUCGGUUCUUCCUAAAUUCAGAUUUAUCGGAAGUUUGUCGAUACAAAAAGCGAAGGACGAGCGCCACCUGAUGCGAGUGUUCGUAAUUACAACGUGUACUAUGUGAAUGUACAGGGCUGCAGCCAAUCAGAGCGGCACUACAGAAUCUGUAAACAACACAACUUGCGCGACUUCGGAAGGCGCUGGAGCGCGAGGGUGUCGGGAUGUGCGCGCGGUCCUCACCACUGCUCACAGACGAGUCUGGAUUAGCAGUGGAGGAUGAACCCAUACCAGGGUUGACGGGUCUCCUGGGAGAGUCUCGGCGCUGUGGGUGAUGAGGACCUUCUGGAGAGGAUUUCCACUAAAGCGUUCCAUCACAAACCCUGACGCCAUACUGCGUGUGUCCUGUGAGUGUGGGCGGAAGACGAGCAAGGAGAGAUUUUGG